rnacentral:rRNA from 1 species
CCUACGGGAGGCAGCAGUGGGGAAUAUUGCACAACGGGCGCAAGCCUGAUGCAGCCAUGCCGCGUGUGUGAAGAAGGCCUUCGGGUUGUAAAGCACUUUCAGCGGGGAGGAAGGCGGUGAGGUUAAUAACCUCAUCGAUUGACGUUACCCGCAGAAGAAGCACCGGCUAACUCCGUGCCAGCAGCCGCGGUAAUACGGAGGGUGCAAGCGUUAAUCGGAAUUACUGGGCGUAAAGCGCACGCAGGCGGUCUGUCAAGUCGGAUGUGAAAUCCCCGGGCUCAACCUGGGAACUGCAUUCGAAACUGGCAGGCUAGAGUCUUGUAGAGGGGGGUAGAAUUCCAGGUGUAGCGGUGAAAUGCGUAGAGAUCUGGAGGAAUACCGGUGGCGAAGGCGGCCCCCUGGACAAAGACUGACGCUCAGGUGCGAAAGCGUGGGGAGCAAACAGGAUUAGAUACCCCGGUAGUC